AAAGCCUCUAAGCAUCAGGUAACAUCAAAUCGUACCCCAAACCGACACAGGUGGUCAGGUAGAGAAUACCAAGGCGCUUGAGAGAACUCGGGUGAAGGAACUAGGCAAAAUGGUGCCGUAACUUCGGGAGAAGGCACGCUGAUAUGUAGGUGAAGCGACUUGCUCGUGGAGCUGAAAUCAGUCGAAGAUACCAGCUGGCUGCAACUGUUUAUUAAAAACACAGCACUGUGCAAACACGAAAGUGGACGUAUACGGUGUGACGCCUGCCCGGUGCCGGAAGGUUAAUUGAUGGGGUUAGCGGUAACGCGAAGCUCUUGAUCGAAGCCCCGGUAAACGGCGGCCGUAACUAUAACGGUCCUAAGGUAGCGAAAUUCCUUGUCGGGUAAGUUCCGACCUGCACGAAUGGCGUAAUGAUGGCCAGGCUGUCUCCACCCGAGACUCAGUGAAAUUGAACUCGCUGUGAAGAUGCAGUGUACCCGCGGCAAGACGGAAAGACCCCGUGAACCUUUACUAUAGCUUGACACUGAACAUUGAGCCUUGAUGUGUAGGAUAGGUGGGAGGCUUUGAAGUGUGGACGCCAGUCUGCAUGGAGCCGACCUUGAAAUACCACCCUUUAAUGUUUGAUGUUCUAACGUUGGCCCGUAAUCCGGGUUGCGGACAGUGUCUGGUGGGUAGUUUGACUGGGGCGGUCUCCUCCUAAAGAGUAACGGAGGAGCACGAAGGUUGGCUAAUCCUGGUCGGACAUCAGGAGGUUAGUGCAAUGGCAUAAGCCAGCUUGACUGCGAGCGUGACGGCGCGAGCAGGUGCGAAAGCAGGUCAUAGUGAUCCGGUGGUUCUGAAUGGAAGGGCCAUCGCUCAACGGAUAAAAGGUACUCCGGGGAUAACAGGCUGAUACCGCCCAAGAGUUCAUAUCGACGGCGGUGUUUGGCACCUCGAUGUCGGCUCAUCACAUCCUGGGGCUGAAGUAGGUCCCAAGGGUAUGGCUGUUCGCCAUUUAAAGUGGUACGCGAGCUGGGUUUAGAACGUCGUGAGACAGUUCGGUCCCUAUCUGCCGUGGGCGCUGGAGAACUGAGGGGGGCUGCUCCUAGUACGAGAGGACCGGAGUGGACGCAUCACUGGUGUUCGGGUUGUCAUGCCAAUGGCACUGCCCGGUAGCUAAAUGCGGAAGAGAUAAGUGCUGAAAGCAUCUAAGCACGAAACUUGCCCCGAGAUGAGUUCUCCCUGAGACUUAGAGUCUCCUGAAGGAACGUUGAAGACGACGACGUUGAUAGGCCGGGUGUGUAAGCGCAGCGAUGCGUUGAGCUAACCGGUACUA
rnacentral:rRNA from 1 species